AUAUAGUUCAUAUAUUAUUAUUAUCAAUAUGAAACCUUUAUCUAGCUUCUACUCCUUUGCUAUUAUCCUAGUAAUUUUGAUCUUCCAUGUGUUGUUUCUAGCUCAUGGUAGACAAGUUGUCACUAGUAAUGAUCUCAUAGUUGAUUCUUCUAAGGAUUCAAUGAAGAAGGGUGAAAAAGGUGGAUGUGAACAAGAUAGAGGUGAUUGCAAACAAGAAAAUGGUAAAAGUGGAGCAGAAGAGAAAUUGUUUGAGAAUGAAGACUAUAUCUAUACACAAUCUCUUCCAUAGGUGAAAGCUUCUCUUUUUUUUAAUUCUUUUGUUUGUUUGUUUUGGCUUUAACUUUGUAACAUAGAUUUUUCUCUAUUCAUCAAAUGAAUUGAGUAGGAUUUUGCAACUUUUGAUUUAGAAUGUAUGAUAAUUUGUUGGUCAAUGGAAAAAUUUAACUUUCCUGCUC